GAUGAACGCUGGCGGCGUGCCUAAUACAUGCAAGUCGAGCGAACGGACGAGAAGCUUGCUUCUCUGAUGUUAGCGGCGGACGGGUGAGUAACACGUGGAUAACCUACCUAUAAGACUGGGAUCACUUCGGGAAACCGGAGCUAAUACCGGAUAAUAUUUUGAACCGCAUGGUUCAAAAGUGUAAGACGGUCUUGCUGUCACUUAUAGAUGGAUCCGCGCUGCAUUAGCUAGUUGGUAAGGUAACGGCUUACCAAGGCAACGAUGCAUAGCCGACCUAAGAGGGUGAACGGCCACACUGGAACUGAGACACGGUCCAGACUCCUACGGGAGGCAGCAGUAGGGAAUCUUCCGCAAUGGGCGAAAGCCUGACGGAGCAACGCCGCGUGAGUGACGAAGGUCUUCGGAUCGUAAAACUCUGUUAUUAGGGAAGAACAUAUGUGUAAGUAACUGUGCACAUCUUGACGGUACCUAAUCAGAAAGCCACGGCUAACUACGUG
rnacentral:rRNA from 1 species